GAGAUACACUUCGGCAGCACAUGUACUAAGAUUGGAAUGAUACAGAGAAAAUUAGCAUGGCCCCUGUGCAAGGAUGACAUGCAAAUUCAUGAAGUGUUCCAUAUUUGU
ensembl:snRNA U6 U6 spliceosomal RNA